UACAGAGGGUGCGAGCGUUAAUCGGAAUUACUGGGCGUAAAGCGUGCGUAGACGGUAGCGUAAGUCAGAUGUGAAAGCCCCGGGCUCAACCUGGGGAACUGCAUUUGAGACUGCUCUGCUCGGGUGCGGAAGAGGGAAGCGGAAUUUCCGGUGUAGCGGUGAAAUGCGUAGAUAUCGGAAGGAACACCAGUGGCGAAAGCGGCUUCCUGGUCCGACACCGACGUUCAGGCACGAAAGCGUGGGGAGCAAACAGG
rnacentral:rRNA from 1 species